rnacentral:rRNA from 1 species
UGGGGAAUAUUGCACAAUGGGCGAAAGCCUGAUGCAGCAACGCCGCGUGAGUGAUGAAGGCCUUCGGGUUGUAAAGCUCUGUCUUUUGGGACGAUAAUGACGGUACCAAAGGAGGAAGCCACGGCUAACUACGUGCCAGCAGCCGCGGUAAUACGUAGGUGGCAAGCGUUGUCCGGAUUUACGGGCGUAAAGGAUGCGUAGGCGGAUUUUUAAGUGAGAUGUGAAAACCCUAAGCUUAACUUGGGGACUGCAUUUCAUACUGGAAAUCUAGAGUGCGGGAGAGGAGAAUGGAAUUCCUAGUGUAGCGGUGAAAUGCGUAGAGAUUAGGAAGAACACCAGUGGCGAAGGCGAUUCUCUGGACCGUAACUGACGCUGAGGCAUGAAAGCGUGGGUAGCAAACAGGAUUAGAUACCCUGGUAGUCCACGCCGUAAACGAUGAGUACUAGGUGUAGGAGGUAUCGACCCCCUUCUGUGCCGCAGUUAACACAAUAAGUACUCCGCCUGGGAAGUACGAUCGCAAGAUU